AAAAGACUUAGUCCUAACCUUGCAGUUAGUUAUUGCUACACAUAUACAUGCAAGUAUCCGCGCACCAGUGUAAAUGCCCUCAAUUCCUUAGUGGGAUGAGAGGAGCGGGCAUCAGGCACACCCACAGUCGUAGCCCAAAACGCCUUGCUCAGCCACACCCACACGGGUACUCAGCAGUAGUUAACAUUAAGCAAUAAGUGAAAACUUGACUUAGUUAUAGCAAUACAGGGUUGGUAAAUCUUGUGCCAGCCGCCGCGGUCAUACAAGAGACCCAAAUUAACUGCAGUGCGGCGUAAAGAGUGGAGCCGAACUAUCCUAACAACUAAGAUCAAAGUGCAGCUGAGCUGUCAUAAGCCCAAGAUGCACCUAAGACCGCCAUCAAGAUGAUCUUAGCCCUCCGAUUGACUAAACCCCACGAAAGCUAAGACACAAACUGGGAUUAGAUACCCCACUAUGCCUAGCCCUAAAUCUUGAUAUCCGCCCUACCCGGAUAUCCGCCCGAGAACUACGAGCACAAACGCUUAAAACUCUAAGGACUUGGCGGUGCCCCAAACCCACCUAGAGGAGCCUGUCCUAUAAUCGAUAACCCCCGAUUCACCCGACCGCUUCUUGCCACAGCAGCCUACAUACCGCCGUCGCCAGCUCACCUCCUCUGAGAGCACCGCAGUGAGCACAAUCGCCCUAACCACGCUAGCAAGACAGGUCAAGGUAUAGCCCAUGAAGCGGGAGUGAUGGGCUACAUUUUCUAAUAUAGAAAACUCACGAAAAGGGGUGUGAAACCACCCCUAGAAGGCGGAUUUAGCAGUAAAGCAGGACAAUAGAGCCCCCUUUAAGCUGGCCCUGGGGCACGUACAUACCGCCCGUCACCCUCCUCACAGGCUAUAAACCCCCAUAACUAAUACACCCAUCAGCUGAAGAUGAGGUAAGUCGUAACAAGGUAAGCGUACCGGAAGGUGUGCUUAGCACAUC
rnacentral:ncRNA from 1 species